UACAGAGGGGGCAAGCGUUGUCCGGAUUGACUGGGCGUAAAGGGUACGUAGGCGGUGUUUCAGGUGGGGUGUGACAUCUCCCGGCUUAACCGGGAGCGGCCGCUCCAAACCGGAAUACUCGAGGGGUGCAGAGGUCGGUGGAAUUGCCAGUGUAGCAGUGAAAUGCGUAGAGAUUGGCAGGAACACCAAGGGCGAAAGCAGCCGACUGGGCACCACCUGACGCUGAGGUACGACAGCGUGGGGAGCGAACAGGAUUGAGA
rnacentral:rRNA from 1 species